GACGAACGCUGGCGGCGUGCUUAACACAUGCAAGUCGAACGAGAAUCUAUGGAUCGAGGAUUCGUCCAAGUGAAGUAGAGGACAGUGGCGGACGGUGAGUAACGCGUGAGGAACCUGCCUUUCAGAGGGGGACAACAGUUGGAAACGACUGCUAAUACCGCAUGACACAUAGAGAUCGCAUGGUUUUANGUCAAAGAUUUAUCGCUGAAAGAUGGCCUCGCGUCUGAUUAGCUAGUUGGUGAGGUAACGGCCCACCAAGGCGACGAUCAGUAGCCGGACUGAGAGGUUGACCGGCCACAUUGGGACUGAGAUACGGCCCAGACUCCUACGGGAGGCAGCAGUGGGGAAUAUUGGUCAAUGGGGGAAACCCUGACCCAGCAACGCCGCGUGAAGGAAGAA
rnacentral:rRNA from 1 species